GUAAUAUGAUGACAUCAUGCGUGUCAUUUGAACAUCACUGGUGGAUAUGGUGUGCAUGUCCUUGCAAGCGUUCUGUUUGCUUGGAUUCUGCCGCUGUGCCUACCAGGGUGUGAAUGAUUGUUGUAAAGUCUGAUUAC